rnacentral:lncRNA from 1 species
UCAAGCUCUAACCACCUCACUUAGCUCCGAUCUCCGCACCACCUCACCUCCUAUUAUUAUUGCAAACCCUUGUCAACACCUGCAAGUGAUUGCUGACCCCGACUUUACGAUCUGUCGUGGUUGAGCUGGUGGCUACUAUUCUUUAUAUUAAUUUCUGCAAUUGAGAGUAUUGAAUAUUGAAAGAGGGCUGCCCAUCUAUACUCUUCGAUAUUACUGAAAACUCGCGCAAGAUUGCGCUGUCCACAGAAGCGCUCUUUCGCCACUCUCAUUGGAACUAUGCCCCGAUUAUUGUAUCGCAUUUUAUUUUAUUUUUGUAUGUUGUAUAUAUUUGUGAAUAUAUGUUUAUAGUGCAAAUA